rnacentral:rRNA from 1 species
CCUACGGGAGGCAGCAGUGAGGAAUAUUGGUCAAUGGGCGCGAGCCUGAACCAGCCAAGUAGCGUGAAGGAUGACUGCCCUACGGGUUGAAAACUUCUUUUAUAAAGGAAUAAAGUGAGGCACGUGUGCAUUUUUGUAUGUACUUUAUGAAUAAGGAUCGGCUAACUCCGUGCCAACAGCCGCGGUAAUACGGAGGAUCUGAGCGUUAUCCGGAUUUAUUGGGUUUAAAGGGAGCGUAGAUGGGUUGUUAAGGCAGUUGUUAAAGUUUGCGGCUCCACCGGAAAAUUGCAAUUGAUACUGGCAGUCUUGAGUACAGUUGAGGUCGGCGGAAUUCUUGGUGUAGCGGU